GUGCUGAUAAAAUAGAAAUUACUUUCUCUCUGAGGUCUAGCUGGAAUUUUAAUGUCUGUUUUGCAAUAAAGCAGCUCCUACACAAUUCGAUUUGAGGGAAAGAAAACAAACGGUCUAAUUUAGUUACAGUAAUGACUCCUCUUGUAUUGUUGGCCGUAGCCAAAUCUGUGGUUGCAGGGUUGUUAAAGUUUGUAGUGGCGAACGCAGUGAUGAUUUUUAUAGUAAUAUGAAUUUUUUGUCUUUAAAAUAUACAUCGUGCUGCUUAAUUACAGGUAUGGAACAACAAGGACCCAGAAAGAAAAAGGUCAUUAAAGUUUACAACCUCUAAUAACGUUUCUGUAAAAAUUACUUGUCACAGCUGUAAAGCUGGUGACCAACGAUGACACAGAUUAAAAAGGGUUCUUGAAUUGGGAAGAGAAAUUGCAACUACUGGACUCAUCAAUGUUGCCUUUAAUUAUUCCAUAAAUGUCACCCUCGCUCUGGUUAGCUCCUUCAAAGGGGAAGGAAAAAAAAAACAAAAGCUCAUUUCCUACGGUCACCGAGUUCUGCUUUCCAUUUCUAGGUUGGAAAUGGCAGGGUGGGGAGGAGCCCAAGAACAAUUAAGGAGGGGAGCAAAAAAUAAACUAUUCUUCAUUUGCAUUGUGGGCACGUGGCACAGGCAGACAGUCUCGGAGCGCGGGUGCUGGUCAGGAGGUUAAAAUCAUUGAUGAGGACUCUCCAGCGGGUGGCUUGGUGUUUCAUCUCCCCGCGUUGUCUGCUCGCAGCCCCGAGGAGGACGAUGCGCCCAUGGGCUGCAGUGAGGUGGCCGGAACGUGGCUGCUCAGAGCACCCAUCUGCUGCAGCAUGGUUUACAGACUGUCGGUCCGGAUGUAAAUCACACCAACGUGGUGAACUCCCAC
rnacentral:lncRNA from 1 species